GAUGAAGAACGUAGCGAAAUGCGAUAAGUAGUGUGAAUUGCAGAAUUCAGUGAAUCAUCGAAUCUUUGAACGCACAUUGCGCCUCCUGGUAUUCCGGGAGGCAUGCCUGUUCGAGCGUCAUCAAAAACCUCAACCCAUGAUUUAUUGUGAGUUGGUUCUGCAUUGGACUCCUUGUGGGUCCUUUGCGAAAUCCAAUGGCGAAGAGCCACGCAACCAAAGCGUAGUAUAACUAUUUCGUUAUGGAAGCGUGGGUGCCUCUGCCGUAACCCCCAAUUUCUUAGUUUUUGACCUCGGAUCAGGUAGGGAUACCCGCUGAACUUAAGCAUAUCAUAAGCGGAGGA
rnacentral:misc_RNA from 1 species